CGCGGGGUGGAGAAGUGGCAUCUCGCAAGGCCCAUAACCUUGAGAUCUCGGGUUCGAAUCCCGACCCCGCAA
rnacentral:tRNA from 1 species